GACGAACGCUGGCGGCGUGCUUAACACAUGCAAGUCGAACGGAAAGGCCCUGCUUUUGUGGGGUGCUCGAGUGGCGAACGGGUGAGUAACACGUGAGUAACCUGCCCUUGACUUUGGGAUAACUUCAGGAAACUGGGGCUAAUACCGGAUAGGAGCUCUUGCUGCAUGGUGGGGGUUGGAAAGUUUCGGCGGUUGGGGAUGGACUCGCGGCUUAUCAGCUUGUUGGUGGGGUAGUGGCUUACCAAGGCUUUGACGGGUAGCCGGCCUGAGAGGGUGACCGGCCACAUUGGGACUGAGAUACGGCCCAGACUCCUACGGGAGGCAGCAGUGGGGAAUAUUGCACAAUGGGCGGAAGCCUGAUGCAGCAACGCCGCGUGCGGGAUGACGGCCUUCGGGUUGUAAACCGCUUUCGCCUGUGACGAAGCGCGAGUGACGGUAAUGGGUAAAGAAGCACCGGCUAACUACGUG
rnacentral:rRNA from 1 species